GAAACAGGGAAGGUUUGAAGGAAGAGCUGGACGUUGAAGAGUAGUUCCAUUUCCAGCAAGAGGAACCUAAGGGGUUGGCAAAUCAGAGUGGAAUUUUCCUGGGAAUCCAUAUACUGAAGAAUAGAACCAGAUUUUAAUAACUUCAAAGCGGCGCCAAGUUUGUGCUUGCCCUGGCUCUUCAAAUAAGUGAGGUUUUGAAUAUUUAAGACUGAAUGAUCAGAUUUCUGGAAUACUGUUUCUGUCCUGACAGUUGAUACUCUUUGUGGUUUGGGCAGAGGCCCCUACAUGUCUGGCCCACUGCCUCCAUAUGGAAAAUUACAACUAAGACCUAUCCUUUGGGAAUGCAAAGAUAAGCUCUGCAGUACUGCAGAUUAAAGAAAAUGGAAUGUCAUUCAGAAGUCUAGAGGAAGGUCCUGUUUCUGAAAGUGAUGUACUCCAUGAACCGGAAGAGAAUUCUAAACUACUGUUUUGCGUCUUCGUUAGGACAUAAGAAGACAUGGCUUUUAUGAAGUAGGAGUGAAAAAUUAUGAAGAAAGAGCAGGUAGCAAUGGAGGGAGAGCAGAAUGAAAUAAAGAACUAUUGUGAGGAAUGCAAGGACACAUGGUGAUGUGAUGAAAAGAAGACCAGCUGUGGUCACACAACAUCUAAAAGUUAUUGAUGUUGCCAAGAAAAGAGCAAAGCCAGUUGGAACAGAUGCAAGAACCAAAGAUGUCAUCUUUCAUCAUAGAUGCAUAAAGCAAACUCUCACACUUUCAUCAAAGAUGUGUAAUUACCAGGUUCUCACAUCCAUGAAGCUUUGCCCGAACACUAUUUGUUCAGUAACGGAGUAAGAGCCUACUGUGUAACAGACUCUGUGUUGUGGACCAAGAUAAAAUGGUCAUCUCUCUCCUGUGGUCCCUUCCACACCCAGUCCCCAACUCUACCAUGCCACCUACAACAUUCUGCUGUUUGUAACCAUUAACAUUUCUGCCCUGCAACAGAAAUGUGGGGUCCUAGAGGGCAGGAUGGUAAUUUGCCCAUCUCUAUGUUCUCAGAAUCUAAUACAAAAAAAGUUUCUUGACUGAAUAAUGAAGUGCAUGAAUAAAACAUCAGCAGAUUGACCAACA
rnacentral:lncRNA from 1 species